CUUAUCCAUUGCUCACAAUCUUUUAUGAUCAAUGGCAUAAUGCCCACAGAAUCCUGACACUUGGACCCAUUACACCUACCUACAACCAAGUGUUACCUCUUUACAACAUAUUCCUGCAUUCUUUAUGAUUACAUGAAAUCUUUGGGUCUGACAUCAUCCUUUCUAUGAGCAUAUUUGUUUCUUCCCCAUCAAUUUGCUCAUCAGUCAGGAAACUACACAUAUUUGACCUUGUGGCUCAACGGUAGUUGUGGUCUUAAGUUGGUAAUGGCACAAGCAAUUGCAGGUUGUAGUGCAUCAUGUUUCAGAGCAUCACAAGACAAGUUAACUUGGCUGCACAAUCAACAGAGACGGUACAAGACAAAUUAUCUUGGCUUGACAUACAAGAAGACAAACUAUCUAGGGUAGUUCACAGGAGGUUCCAAGCUGCCUACCAGAAUUUCAAGAUCUAUGUCUUUGUCUUCAAACUUCUUGAUGAAAGGGUGACUCUGGAAAAAUAAAAAGAAGAAAACAUGAUUCCAGCUUGCAUCAUGGGUGAAGUCUAACACUAUACAUGGCAAUGAAGAGGGGAGGGGAGGGGAAGGGAAGGUAUUCUAUAGGGAAGGAAAGAGAGUUGAAGGGAAGAAAAGAAAAAAAUUUAUUUGCCAAACAUGAUUGAAACUAAUUCUGCAUCUAUUCACUUCCCUUCCCUUUAAAUUACCCUUCAUCCAUGCAUAGUAUAAAAAGACUUUCGGAAAUAGACAGACAAAGCAUAUUCUAAACUACUAA